AUUGAACGCUGGCGGCAGGCCUAACACAUGCAAGUCGAACGCAGUGGCGGACGGGUGAGUAAUGUCUGGGAGACUGCCUGAUGGCGGGGGAUAACGACUGGAAACGGUAGCCAAUACCGAAUACUACCAGAUGAUCCUAGGUCGGAUGAGCUAGUUGGUGGGGUAAAGGCCUACCAAGGAGAGGAUCCGUAAGUGGGCUGAGAGGAUGAUCAGGCACACUGGAAUGGAGAAACGGCCCAGAUUCCUACGGGAGGCAGAAGUGGGGAAUAUUGGACAAUGGGCGAAAGCUGGCUCCAGCCAUGCCGCGUGUGUGAAGAAGGUCUUCGGAUUGUAAAGCACUUUAAGUUGGGAGGCGGUACCAACAGAAUAAGCACCGGCUAACUUCGUGCCAGCAGCCGCGGUAAUUC
rnacentral:rRNA from 1 species